UCGAGAAUCUUCCGCAAUGGGCGCAAGCCUGACGGAGCGAUGCCGCGUGAAGGAUGAAGGUCUUCGGAUUGUAAACUUCUGUCACUGGGGACGAAUAAAUGACGGUACCCGGAGAGGAAGUCACGGCUAACUACGUGCCAGCAGCCGCGGUAAUACGUAGGUGACUAGCGUUGUUCGGAUUUAUUGGGCGUAAAGGGUCCGCAGGGGGCCGGCUAAGUCUGAUGUGAAAUACCAAGGCUCAACCUUGGAACUGCAUUGGAAACUGGUUGGCUAGAGCAUCGGAGAGGAGAUUGGAAUUCCUGGUGUAGCGGUGGAAUGCGUAGAUAUCAGGAGGAACACCAAAGGCGAAGGCAGAUCUCUGGACGAUUGCUGACCCUCAGGGACGAAAGCAUGGGGAUCAAACA
rnacentral:rRNA from 1 species